AAAAAGACAAACCCUGGGUUUCCGCGUCCAACUUUAAUUGUCCGUCUUAUAUGAAAUUUUUUUUAUAAUUCGUAUUUUUAUUGUUGUUAGAUGAUAAAAUAUGAUUAAUAUUUUAUACGUUACUUGUCUUUUUAAUUUUUUUCAUAAUUUUUUUAAAUAAGACGGAGGGUUAAACGUUGGACACGGAUGUU
rfam:Oryza nivara chromosome 6, whole genome shotgun sequence.